CUCGUGAAGCUUUAAUCCGCACACGUAUCGACACGUUAUCCUGGGUGCCUGCAAGGGUUGGAUAGCGGGAUGCGUGGAGGCCUAAC
rnacentral:sRNA from 1 species